UUAGCGCUCACGGCUGGCAGUCAGCUAAUUAGACGCCUCUCUUUGUGCUCAUUACUUUAAUGGCGCCAAGAUUAAUUACAGUAAAAUACGUCGCUAGGAAACUGGCCUCAGGUCUAGCACAAUAUACGCGUUAUUAAUAACAGUCUCCGCCUCCCCCCACAGACUAUCCCGUGAAUGUGGAGAGCAGUUUGCUUAUAGCGUAGACAGUUUCUACAUUCUGUGUGAGCGCAGUGUGCGUGGUCCCGGUGCCGGUGACGUCACGCGGGCCCUCGCGACCUGUUGUCACGCCCGAGGCUCACAUUGUAUGAAGCUCAGAGUUCAAUUUCACUAAUUGAAUGCGCGUGUGAGUGUCACCCCGAGUGCACACACCGGUGGUGUCGCGCCUGUUAACAAUUCACUCGCCAGAGGGCGCCGCUCCAAAGGUGACAUUUUUCCGAGCAAUUAGCUAAUGGUGGUGACGACAGACGCCCCACAGUACGCGGGCGGCGAUGAGCGACUUGCAGCGGCUGAUGCCUAGAAGACACCGAGAUUGAACGGGGUGACGGGUAACUGGUGAACUUACUAAAGCAAAUGACUGAAGACUGGAGAUGUCCGUCCGUGGCACACAGAGGCGUGCCAAUUUGAUUAGUGUUUGUGUUGCGGCGCGGCGUGGCGUGGCAUGGCGUGGCGUGGCGUGAGCGCAGCCGCGGGCUCCGACUCACCCAGUAUGCAAUAUCGACAAGCGAUCACCCGGCGAGGCGGCGGCGAGGCGGCGGCGAGGCGGCGGCG
rnacentral:lncRNA from 1 species